GAAUGGCUCCCCCCGCACCCCUCCUCCCCCAUACACGCCUACCUAGAGCCUCAGAAUGUGAUGUUACACGGAAAGAGGGCCUCUGCAUUGCACAUGUAAUUACUUAAGGAUUACACUGUAUCGGGGUGGACUCUGAAUCCAAAGAAAGUGUCCUUAUAAGAGACAGAAAAGAACACACAGAGACCCAGAGAAGGUGGUGGUAUGUAGCUGGAGGUGGAGAUUGGUGUGAUACAUCUAUAGGCCAAGAAAUGCCCGGGAUUUCCUACAGAGAUGAAGGCUGACAGACCGAGACAUUUCUUUCCUCAGAGUCUCUGGGAGGAACCAUCUCUGUUGCCAACUUGAUUUUGGACUGCUAAUCUCCAGAACCAUGAGAAAAGACGUUUCUGCUGCUGGAAGCCAUUGCGUUUGUGGUACUUUCUUACAUCACUCAGAGAAAAUGAAUACAGCCUCGCCCCACCCCUUUCAGCUUUUCCAUGACUUUGACUCUUGAACUUCUUUCACAGUAAGAUGCAAUCUUGUAAAGCCUCUAAGACCUGCUUAAGCAAGACAACUGAAGGUGACUCCAUGAUCACCUUUAACAACAGGACCUCCGGAACACCUUUGCCAAUUCUUAGUAACUUCCCCGUCACAGUUUCCUCAUCUGAAAUGGAUUGCUAAGAGAAUUAAAUGAUAUUUAGCAAUACCUGAAAAAUGUUCACAAUGACUACAUCCAAGCCCACCGGGCUACAUAUGGAGACAAGUCAACUAACCACAUAUAAAAAUCGCCAUUGGAGAAGGGGAAGAAUCAGAACCCACGUGACGAAGCUGAAAAUGCUGGGGAAGUGGAUACCAGUCCCACAUGCUCAGAGAAAGUUGAUUCUACUGCAGCCCCUGCAAGCAACUCAACUUCCUAACCUAGCAUUCUAGAGUGUCACAUUGAACCACCCCAAACUCAGAGUAUAGGCUCAGCUAGAAAAAUGCCUGUUUCAAAAAAGCAAGAGGACAAGGAAAAUUUUCAGAAAUGUCUAUCUACCACUGUUGGGCUCCUCGAUUCAUCUCUUCCCAACUCCUCAAGAGGUGGUCCCCUUUGGAAGUUCCACCGAACACUUAGACACCUCCAGUGCCCAGCCUUGGGCUGAUUACAUUCAACUUGGCAUUUGAUGAUUAAACUUCCUCAAAUUGC